CGCGGGAUGGUAGCAGUCUGGUAGCUCGUCGGGCUCAUAACCCGAAGGUCGUAGGUUCAAAUCCUUCUCCCGCAACCA
rnacentral:tRNA from 3 species